GAUGAACACAUAACCUCAAAGUGUAAAAUGCAAAGCCUUAAAAAUCUCAAAUUAUAUAGAUAUAUAUAUGUUAUUUAUGUGUACAUGAAAAGUAUAAUUACAUUGUAUGUAGUGCUAGGUGGACCUAGGUAGACCAAGCUAGAUAUAUAUAGGGGCUUCACACUGCUCUCUCCUUAGCCCCAGAUAGGCUAACGUUAGAGCCAAGGCUAAGAUAGCCCAUGGCUUACUUCACCCACGUUUCUGCGGUUCAGAGGUAAGUGCCCUGGUUUUGAUCGAUACCGAUUUCAGAUCCGUGUUUUAAGCUAUUUUUUGGAGAAAUUAUUUUUACCAUUGUGUGAAAGCCCCAAUGUAGACCUAUGUAGAUCUUGGUGGAUCUAGGUGGAUCUAGGCCGAUCUAGGUGGAUCUAGGAGGAUCUAGAAGGAUCUAGGAGGAUAGGUAGACAUAGGUGGUUCUAGGUACACCUAGGUGGAUCUUGGUGGAUCUAAGUAGAUCUAGGCGGAUCUAUGUAGACCUAGGUAGAUCUAGGUACACCUAGGUGGUUCUAGGUAGAUCUAGGUGGCUCUAGCUAGAUCUAGGUAGAUCUAGGUGGUGCUAGGUGGGUCUAGGCAGUCCUAGACGGAUCUAGGACGGACAUUGUGUCCAGGGCUGAUCUGGCAAAGCCCGGCAGACUGAGCGCCCGCGCGGCUCAGCUGCUGCCGUUAGGAAUCUAAAGCCAUGGCUGCUUUCUAACCACUGAUGCUGUUUCCACGGUCACCGCCUCCGCCAGGGGGGGGGAUGAGCCCAGCUAUAUCGGUGUGUACGCUGUCUGUGACACGGGUUAAAGUGUGUCUGUCUAUUCCAUAUCCAGGAAGUGCAAUAUAUAUAUAUAUAUGGAUGUAUAUCUAUGCAUAUUUGUCGCGUGUCAAAUGUAUCGUCAUUCGUCAUGCCGUGUUCUGCUCCGUGUUGUUGACUGAUGUGUUGGUUUAGGCUGGAUAGAGGUAGCCUCGGAUGUUAUGGUAGACGUUAUCCCUCUGUUAGAGCUUCUACACAUCCAGAGUGGGCGUUCAGGCAGACUGAGGGGUGGCGGGGGGAAAACUAUGAGGGGUUCGCGCCUGCAAACGGCCACUGACGGGUUUAGUUCGAAGAGAAUGAUUCGGAAUAGAUUACCUAUCCUAUGUAAAUGUCAAUCACGCGGGGUAUCUUGCGAUAUUAUAUGUAUUUUUCUCUAAAUUAAUAUCCUGUAAUCCGAGCAAUAGUGUGCAUUAGGAACAGUAUUCUGUCAGAACACAGUGGGGGGCUGGGUGAGGCAAACCACUGUGUCUUUGUUUUACUGGGGAUUCACACGAGUGUGUGUCACACUUAGAGGUAGAGUUCAAAUAGUAAUUCAAUUAGUACAUUAUAUUUUUUACUGUGGAUGUGUGUAAUAAUUACACCGCUGAUAUAACAAGGAUAUAUUUGCAAAUUGAAAAAAUAAUCUAUUAGAUCCACGCAUGCCAUGGUGGAUGAAGACAUUGAAUUGAAUUUUUGUUGAUCUGUAUUUUUAAUAUGAAAACAUGUGUUAUUCUCAGUGUAACAUAAUGCCAUGCAUGCUGCUUCGGCCAGCCCAGAUCUCUCUUCAUGUUGUGUUGUUCCUGGCUAUUGACGAUACAGAAGGCCGGACACAGGCCACAACGUGGUCAGAUCACGCUUUCAUUUUGUGAUGUAGACGUCGAGAAUGGGAAAGUUUGAGGGCGACUAGACAGUCAAUGUUAAAACAGAUCAAGGAUCUAUAUUAUAGGGGCAACAUUGUGAAAGAUCCAAAAGCCUUGCCUUAAAUGUAACAGAUGUAUUUAUCUUUAAAUACAUUAUUUAUUAAAUAAAUAACUGGAACUGAGCCCAAGAGAAGAUGCUCAUCUCGAACACUGUGAUGCUUUGUGAAGUUUGUCCUUCACCUCGCUGUGUGAUGCAUAAUAAUGCAGAAUAUGAAUGUACUCAUUCUGUUUGUCAGACCCUGUCCCUCUUGUGAACAUGGUCCAGUGAGAAGCUGUGUGGUAUUAUGAUCAUGAUGCACUUAUGAAUGCUUCGUAAACUGACCUCAAUAUGCUUAGCAUGACGAAACAAUAGGAAAAUAUUCCAUUUAUUUUUUUAGGCUGAAAGUUUAUUUUUAUCCACAUAAAUUAUAUCAUCUAAUUCUACUUGCUGUUUAGUUUAUCUGUUUGUCUGAAGAGUCACAUGUUGUAAUUGUCUGUCAUAAUGGAUAUAAAUGAAAUA